GAGGGCGUGCGCACAUGUGUGAGCGUGCUAGCGUUAGGGCAGAACCGAUACCCUCUCGUCUGAAACCAUCAACUUUAAAAUGGGAGCAGAGGGGUGAACCCAAGCCGAUUGAAGCAAAAGUUAACCAACCAUUCUCCUUGGAGUGAGCAAGGAUCAGUAGAUUUUCUGUUAUAACGUGGAGUGGGAGAUGUCAGGGACCACCUGAGAGAACUCACCAACUUCAGAGACCACCUGUGGAAGCUCACCAACUUGCCUCAACUUGCCCGUUCCCUUACCUGCAGUAAACAUACUGCUUGGCAACAGCAGAGAUAUGCUCACAGAACCAUGGCUUAUCACAAGAUGUUUCAGGCCCCUGGCCAAGAAGAAUCUGUAAUUUAACCCACCCUACUUCCUUAUCCUGAACCCUUUA